GUUCGUUUUUUUUACUGUAGUUUGAGGUUGUGUACUAUGUAGGACUUGCACCGAAGAUUUCAGAGGAUCUCUAUCACUUAAGCAAUUAUGCUUUCUUUUCUUAAUCUCCAUUUCUGCACCUUUGGUUUUUGGAUUCAUGGGUUCACUACAAGAAAUCAGGGUCCUCCCGAUGCAGAGAAAGACGUGAACGGGCAUUCUCUGAAUGGUUUCGAGCACAGGUGUUAGAACUGCGUGAGUCUGCAAAUCUAUCUGACAAUUUCCUCUCACUUGCGAUGGGACCAUCAUUUAACGUUCGUUGUUACGAUGGAUGCAUCAUGGAUGGAUUGAUAAAUGUUCGUUGUUAUAUCCAACCUUUGUCAUAAGAGAAUUUUCAUAAACUUUGUCAUAAGAGAAUUUAAUCAAAUAUAUAUAAUCACUCUAUAUAAAAUUUGUAAGACUCACAAAAUUCACAUGAGAAUAAUUUAAAUAUUCAACAAUCAAAUAAGUUCCGAAGACAAUAUUAAGAAUUUAUUCUCUAUUUGAAAAACAACAUUAAGAUUAUAUAAUCUUAAUGUAUAUAUAUAUAGAAGAUAAAUAUUACCACAAUAUUUGUCAAGUAAAAUGAAAUCCAAUUAGGAAAACAAAUAUUCUAAUUUAAACUCAUAUAAAUUAAUUAGAAAAACAUCUCAAUCAAAUAUUUCAAAUAUAAGAAUUAUAUUUAAAAAUAAGGCAUGAUUUACCACCUUAAUCUAAAUAACAUUAGAACAUUUAUAACAUACAUCUAAAAUGAUAUAGCAUAUUUGACAAAUCUAUAAGAUUUAAUCAAAAAAUUAAAGACAAGAAAUACUUAAUUAUUUAAUAUCUUUUCUAUUUUGGAUCACUCAAAACAAGGUUGUUUAAGUUUUUCAAACAUAAAUUUUAUUCCUCAACAAAUAUGAAAAUUAUCUAUGGUCUAAAAUAGUAACCGCACACAUAUAUAUACAUAUACUUCAAAUAGAAUUUAAAUUUGAAUAUAUAUACUUAUCCAACACAUAUGUCAUGAGAUAUAUAUCUCAUGCCCCAAAAUUUAACAUCAAAACGUUUUACAAUGAAAUGUCUUACAUAAGUUGAAACCAAA